UACAGAGGGUGCAAGCGUUAAUCGGAAUUACUGGGCGCAAAGCGUGCGCAGACGGUUAUCUAAGCCGAGUGUGAAAGCCCCGGGCUCAACCUGGGAAUUGCAUUCGAUACUGAAUAGCUAGGGUGCGGAAGAGGGAAGUGGAAUUUCCGGUGUAGCGGUGAAAUGCGUAGAUAUCGGAAGGAACAUCAGUGGCGAAAGCGACUUCCUGGUCCAGCACCGACGUGCGGGCACGAAAGCGUGGGGCGCAAACAGG
rnacentral:rRNA from 1 species